rnacentral:rRNA from 1 species
GAGUUUGAUCCUGGCUCAGGAUGAACGCUAGCGGCAGGCCUAAUACAUGCAAGUCGAGGGGCAGCGGGUGUAGCAAUACAUGCCGGCGACCGGCGCACGGGUGCGUAACACGUAUGUAAUCUACCUUUUACUGGAGAAUAGCCCGAAGAAAUUCGGAUUAAUACUCCAUAAUAUCAUUGGGGGGCAUCUCUUGAUGAUUAAAGUUCCGACGGUAAAAGAUGAGCAUGCGCGAUAUUAGCUAGUUGGUGAGGUAACGGCUCACCAAGGCGACGAUAUCUAGGGGUACUGAGAGGUUACACCCCCACACUGGUACUGAGACACGGACCAGACUCCUACGGGAGGCAGCAGUAAGGAAUAUUGGACAAUGGUCGCAGGACUGAUCCAGCCAUGCCGCGUGCAGGAUGACUGCCCUAUGGGUUGUAAAACUGCUUUUGUACAGGAAGAAACACUCCCCUCGUGAGGGAACUUGACGGUACUGUAAGAAUAAGGAUCGGCUGACUCCGUGCCA